rnacentral:rRNA from 1 species
UACGAAGGGGGCUAGCGUUGUUCGGAAUUACUGGGCGUAAAGCGUGCGCAGGCGGCUUCUCAAGUCAGGGGUGAAAGCCCAGAGCUCAACUCUGGAAUUGCCUUUGAGACUGAGUGGCUUGAGUACGGGAGAGGUGAGUGGAAUUCCCAGUGUAGAGGUGAAAUUCGUAGAUAUUGGGAAGAACACCGGUGGCGAAGGCGGCGACCUGGUCCGUGACUGACGCUGAGGCGCGAAAGCGUGGGGAGCAAACAGG